GACUCAUGUAUGGGUUUAGGAUGAUGAAGAAAAGAGAAAAAACACUAGUUUGUUCCCCUCCUACCUUGGGACAGGGAGGGGGAAUCCAGAUCACUUGUAGUCCCAGGUGCCUUGUGUGAUAAAAGCGUAUAAUAUAAGAAGUGGAGCAGAGUGUGAGGGAGCUGGGCCGAUUGAGAGGGGCAGGGCCUAGCGCCACGAUGCGCCUCUAUCCACAUAUAGCUGUGCACCUGUUCAGGAUCGGGGAUAUAGAAAGUGCAGCGAAAAAAAAAACAAAACAAAAAAACUG